UACGUAGGGUGCAAGCGUUGUCCGGAAUUAUUGGGCGUAAAGAGCUCGUAGGCGGUCUGUCGCGUCGGCUGUGAAAACUCGGGGCUCAACCCCGAGCCUGCAGUCGAUACGGGCAGACUAGAGUGCUGUAGGGGAGACUGGAAUUCCUGGUGUAGCGGUGAAAUGCGCAGAUAUCAGGAGGAACACCGGUGGCGAAGGCGGGGUCUCUGGGCAGUAACUGACGCUGAGGAGCGAAAGCGUGGGGAGCGAACAGG
rnacentral:rRNA from 1 species